GAUGAACGCUGGCGGCGUGCCUAAUACAUGCAAGUCGAGCGAAUGGAUUAAGAGCUUGCUCUUAUGAAGUUAGCGGCGGACGGGUGAGUAACACGUGGGUAACCUGCCCAUAAGACUGGGAUAACUCCGGGAAACCGGGGCUAAUACCGGAUAACAUUUUGAACCGCAUGGUCCGAAAUGGAAUGGCGGCUUCGGCUGUCACUGAUGGAUGGACCCGCGUCGCAUUAGCUAGUUGGUGAGGUAACGGCUCACCAAGGCAACGAUGCGUAGCCGACCUGGGAGGGUGAUCGGCAACACUGGGACUGAGACACGGCCCAGACUCCUACGGGAGGCAGCAGUAGGGAAUCUUCCGCAAUGGACGAAAGUCUGACGGAGCAACGCCGCGUGAGUGAUGAAGGCUUUCGGGUCGUAAAACUCUGUUGUUAGGGAAGAACAAGUGCUAGUUGAAUAAGCUGGCACCUUGACGGUACCUAACCAGAAAGCCACGGCCAACUACGUGCCAGCCGCCGCAGUAA
rnacentral:rRNA from 1 species